UGGUUUGUUUAGGUCCUCGUAACUAAGUAGCUCGAUAGAUCACACUGAUACAAUAAGUACAUUUAAAAAAUAAGUAUUGAAGUCGAUUUCUUCGACUAAGCCCUACAAGGCAGUGCCCGAGCAUGGCCACAGUCCAGUGACUUAAACAAGUAAAAGAUAAAAGAUAAUUGUAAUUUCCGUUGUAUGAAAUACAGGAAUGCUAAAAAUAAAAUGAAAAUAACUACUUUUUUUCCUUUCUUUGAGGUAUGGAACCCCUUAUCUGAAACGCCUCCAGACUUUGAUUGGCUCUUUGAGCUAAGCUUGACCGAGGCAAAUCAACAACCAUACAUCACAUCGCUUAUUUGCUUCUAGUCAUGUUUAAGCUUCUCUGAUGAAAGAUGGCUGAAGGUACUCAACCUGACGACAAGAAGGCAGAGUUCGGGCGUUUGAGUGCCCAGCUGGAGAAGCAAUGUGCCUUCAUGAAGAGGAUCGUCUCUUCGGCGAAAGCGGUUGCUGAGAGCAACAUUUGGGCCAGCUACCGUGCUGCACACCUUGUGGCCACCAACCUCAAGCCGUUUACCGAUGGCGAAUUCUUCAAGGUGUACAUGAUGGCUGUGGUUAAGGACGUGUGACCUUGACAAGUCGAGUGAGAUUGAGGCCAUCAGCCUGUCUGCCAGGACCUUGACCCGCCGCGUAGAGAUGGCCACCGAUAUCCGGGGCACCCUGAUGGACAUGUGUCAGUCCGCUCGCUUCUUCUCCAUCGCCUUGGACGAGUCGACUGACAUCAAGCUUGCCAUCUUCUUCCGCGGCGGCAGGGAUGACUUCGUCGUCUUUGAGGAGUUCAUCAGACUCAUUCCCCGCAGCGGUACCACCACUGGCGCCGACGUGUGCAAGGCAGUAACAGACUGGCUGAAGGAGGCCGACCUGGACCUCUCUCGCAUGUGCGGCAUCACAUGAUCGGGGACAAGAAGGGCUUUGCGACGCUUCUUGUGAAGUACUUGCGCAGCUUUGGACGUCUGCAGGGUGUGAAGUGCUUUCACUGUCUGGUGCACCAGGAAGCUCUGUGCGCCAAGUCCGUGACCAUUACAGAGGUCAUGACUAUCGUCGUCAGGGCUGUGAACUUUGUUUGCACCCGUGCUCUCAACCACAGACAGUUCCGCGCUCUCUUGGAUGAUGCUGAGGCAGAGUUCAACGACCUGAUCUACUUCUGCAAGGUCCGUUGGCUCAGCUGAGGAAAGAUGUUGGAGAGAGUCUUCAACCUGAGGGAUGAGCUGGCGUCUUUCCUGCGAGAGAAGGACAUUGCUGUCCUUCAGUUCGAGGAUCCCGCAUGAGUGUGUAACCGUGGGUUCCUGGUGGACAUUACUGGACAUCUAAACGAGCUGAACAUUCAGCUGCAGUGUAAAGACGUCUUGGUACCUGACUUCCUCGCCCACGUAAAGGCAUUCGAAUGCAAACUUCGCCUGUGGAAGCAUCAGUUCAACCAGAGGAAAUUUACUCACUUCUCCCGCUUGGCUGAGCUGUGCCCAACCCCCGCUGCCUGCCGUCGCUACGCCGCUGCCUUGACUGAGCUGCGAGGCGAGUUCGAGAGGCGCUUCAAAGAGGUGCGCGCCUGUGAGAAGGAGCUGAAGCUAUUCUCCGCUCCCUUUGAUGUGGAUUCUGUGGAAGUGGCCGACGACAUUCAGCUGGAGCACAUUGAGCUCCAGUGCUCAGAGAGCCACCGCGCAAAGUUUGCACUUGUGUCGCCCAUGGAGUUCUGGCGCUCGCUCUCAGCCUCCCGUGCUUUCCCGGCUCUUUUCGGGAUGCCCUACGCUUAGCUUCAUUGUUCGCGUCCACAUACUCUUUCGAGCAGCUGUUCAGCCGCAUGAGGCUGACGAAGAACAAGACGAGAGCACAGCUUCAAGAUGCUCAUCUUCAAGACGUUCUCCUUCUGGCCUCGUCCAUCAAGCCGGACAUUGACUCUGUAUCUGUUUCAAAGAAUCGCCAGCCUUCCCAUUAAUCGUUUCACAUUGUGAUUACUGCAAGUCUUAAUAAAGGUUCAAUUUACAUUUAUUAUCA